AUUGAACGCUGGCGGCAGGCCUAACACAUGCAAGUCGAGCGAGCGGCGGACGGGUGAGUAAUGCCUGGGAAUUGCCCAGUCGAGGGGGAUAACAGUUGGAAACGACCGCUAAUACUGCAUACGCUUGGAUGCCCCAGGCGGGAUGAGCUAGUUGGUGAGGUAAUGGCUCACCAAGGCGACGAUCCCUAUCUGGUCUGAGAGGAUGAUCAGCCACACUGGAACUGAGACACGGUCCAGACUCCUACGGGAGGCAGCAGUGGGGAAUAUUGCACAAUGGGGGAAACCCUGAUACAGCCAUGCCGCGUGUGUGAAGAAGGCCUCCGGGUUGUAAAGCACUUUCAGCGAGGAGGCGUUACUCGCAGAAGAAGCACCGGCUAACUCCGUGCCAGCAGCCGCGGUAAUUC
rnacentral:rRNA from 1 species